UUCACCAAUUUUCAUCUCUCUUCCCCUCUCUGGUUCUUCUCUUCCUUUCUUGUUCUCUGGGCAAGACUGUGAAACCACAACACUCUCUGCACACACCUCAAUGCCCCCCCCCCACGCGUCGCUGGUGCUGUUCCCUCACACGAUAGAAAGGGGCCUCGACUUUUUUUCAUUUUCCCGCUCUUCAUCUCCUUCCCUCACAUUCUGUCUCUGCGGCGCCGCGAAAUGAAGAAACACACUCCUCUAUUUCUCUCCUGCUGUUGUCGUCGUUACUGCCUCCUCACGACCUGUGAUGGUGCCCUCCUCUCCUCGUACUUAUAUCUUUGCUCCCCUGAGCCACGGAAUCCCUGCCGCACUAACCUCGGCCACCGUCGCAGGAGGAAACUAGUGUUGCUCAAUCUCAUUUAGGGGAAUAGGAAUUCAUUGGUUUCUGGAGCACAGACCGGAGUAAAAGAUGGCAAAAGUCCUAAGGUUUUGGUCAUUUCUCUGCCUAUUACUACGUGGCUCCUCUAUUGAUGAUCACCAGGUCAAAUAAUGGCAUCUAUGUAGCAUCUUUCAUUGUCAUUAUUUGUGUGUGGAGCCUGAAAAUAAUUUUGAUGCCUUAAAUUUUUGUUAAGUUUGACACUUAGGUUAUGCAUUAAAACUCGAGAAUUAUGAUGAGUACAGUGGUGUUCGUACUGAAGAAGUCCUAACUAAUGCUCUGGCAAUUAUUUAUGAAUCUAAAAGAACUCAGCAAGAAUGCAUCUUAUUGUGAGAAGAAGAGGGAGACGUAAAUGUUGGGGUUGCACCUUUACAUAUCCUGUUCUCAUGGCUGCUAUAUUCUCUUGUAUCAGUACUUUUCAGAUUGUCAGUUUCCAAGUUAUGACAAGGAGCAUAUUGACGAAGUAAGAACUGAGUGGGUGCGCCAUGUUGUUCAACAAAUUGUAUAAUCGCUAGGUUACGUUGAAUGAACCAACAAACAUACAACUUUAUUAAUUAAUGUAUUUUGCGUAGUUUAAUGUUUAGAAUUUUAUUUUGGAUCUAUGUAAUCGGUUUUAUUAGGGUGACUUGUAAAAAUUCUUUCCAUUGAGGUUUGGAAAUUAAUAUUCAACUAUUCACUACUCUUCAAUAUAUGGUUUUAUUUUGCGGAAAAAAUGAAAUGCUUUUCAGGUAGGCAGCGAUAUUAUAAAUAAUAAAAAAAAAAAAAACAAAAAAAAACUUUAAUAGCGCUUCAU